AGUCGGCCCCCGCGGUGCAUUAGCUAGUUGUAAGGUAAAAGGCUUACCAAGGCGAUGAUGCAUAGCCGAGUUGAGAGACUGAUCGGCCACAUUGGGGACUGAGACACGGCCCAAACUCCUACGGGGAGGCAGCAGUAGGGAAUCUUCCACAAUGGACGCAAGUCUGAUGGAGCAACGCCGCGUGAGUGAAGAAGGUUUUCGGAUCGUAAAAGCUCUGUUGUUGGUGAAGAAGGAUAGAGGUAGUAACUGGCCUUUAUUUGACGGUAAUCAACCAGAAAGUCACGGCUAACUACGUGCCAGCAGCCGCGGUAAU
rnacentral:rRNA from 1 species